rnacentral:rRNA from 1 species
UACGGAGGGUGCAAGCGUUGCUCGGAAUUAUUGGGCGUAAAGGGCAGGUAGGUGGUCUCAUUUGUCUGGGGUGAAAGCCUUGGGCUUAACUCAAGAAGUGCCCCAGAAACGGUGAGACUGGAGUCCUGGAGAGGGUCGUGGAAUUCCCGGUGUAGCGGUGAAAUGCGUAGAGAUCGGGAGGAACACCAGAGGCGAAGGCGGCGACCUGGACAGGUACUGACACUCAACUGCGAAAGCGUGGGGAGCAAACAGG